rnacentral:lncRNA from 1 species
CAGUGGUGAAUGGUUCUCGGUGACGCAGGCUCCUAAACAGUUGAACAGACGCUGCGCUGCCGGCCUACGUCAGGGGAGACCAAGCAAACAGCGCUGCGGGAACCUUGGCUUCCCAACCCGCGGCCUUGUCCCUGCUGCACUCAGCGUGGGCCUCAGGGUGGGUGCUGGAGGCUGCGGAAAGUGGAGAUCGUGUCCUGCUGGAUCCUCCUGCAGUGUUCAAGGAAGACUCAUGGAGGACAGGAGCCUGGAAGAGGAGAGAGUGUGAGAUGCCACUCUCUGGAAGCAGAGGACCUCAGACCAAGGCCCAGCAAAUGACUAUUCCUGCUUAGCACCCCUGGCAGGUCCUCUGGUGCAGGCCUUCCCAGUGGCUCCUGUCUUCAGUGCUGCUUGCCUGCUCCAUCAGGUAGCCUCUGGCUGAGGCUUCCACCCAGCAGCACCCAGCCAGGUAUUGUAAUUUUUCUGUCUGAGGAGUGUGGCCCUUCAAGAGCCAGAGUUCUGGCUUCAGACUACCUGGGUUCAAAUUCUGACUCAACGUCUUUUAGCAGAGACUCUUCAGCUUCCAGAAAGGAUCCCCCAGCCUUCAGACAUAGACUCUUCAGCCUCCUCAAACACACUCACAUGGGACACUGCAGUGAGAUCCAGACCUUGGACUGGGUCCUUUGGUCUCCAGUGCUGAGACAGACCCUCUGCACUCUUCCUCAUCUGACUCUGUGGGUGGCCAUUGCAAGCCAAUCUUGUAAAUUCAUAUAUAUUUGUGUAGCUUGUGUUUUAUCUGCUUCUCUAGUAAAUAUUGACUGAUACACUGUCUCCAGCAGGCCUCUUGCCUUCUACCCCACCCCACCCGCAUGUUCUGUUUUUUGGUGAG